UACAGAGGGUGCAAGCGUUAAUCGGAAUUACUGGGCGUAAAGCGUGCGUAGACGGUUAUGUAAGUCAGGUGUGAAAGCCCCGGGCUCAACCUGGGAAUGGCAUUUGGGACUGCAAGGCUGGAGUGUGGCAGAGGAGACUGGAAUUCCUGGUGUAGCAGUGAAAUGCGUAGAUAUCAGGAGGAACACCGAUGGCGAAGGCAGGUCUCUGGGCUGACACUGACGCUCAUGCACGAGAGCGUGGGGAGCAAACAGG
rnacentral:rRNA from 1 species